rnacentral:rRNA from 1 species
AGGGAAUCUUCCGCAAUGGGCGAAAGCCUGACGGAGCAACGCCGCGUGAGUGAUGAAGGCCUUCGGGUCGUAAAACUCUGUUAUUAGGGAAGAACAAAUGUGUAAGUAACUAUGCACGUCUUGACGGUACCUAAUCAGAAAGCCACGGCUAACUACGUGCCAGCAGCCGCGGUAAUACGUAGGUGGCAAGCGUUAUCUGGAAUUAUUGGGCGUAAAGCGCGCGUAGGCGGUUUCUUAAGUCUGAUGUGAAAGCCCACGGCUCAACCGUGGAGGGUCAUUGGAAACUGGGAAACUUGAGUGCAGGAGAGGAAAGUGGAAUUCCAUGUGUAGCGGUGAAAUGCGCAGAGAUAUGGAGGAACACCAGUGGCGAAGGCGACUUUCUGGUCUGCAACUGACGCUGAUGUGCGAAAGCGUGGGGAUCAAACAGGAUUAGAUACCCUGGUAGUCCACGCCGUAAACGAUGAGUGCUAAGUGUUAGGGGGUUUCCGCCCCUUAGUGCUGCAGCUAACGCAUUAAGCACUCCGCCUGGGGAGUACGACCGCAAGGUUG